AUGAUUACGUCGACAUUUUUUCUCAGUUUGUUGCUGACGUUCUUACCCUGCGUCCAGUCAGAUGUUAUUUUGAUUCAACCAGAGGCAGAGACCGGCCGCCCCGGAAGCUCCCUGAGACUGACAUGUAAAGUCAGCGCGUUCGAUCUUUGCAGCUUCCUGAUGGAUUGGGCCCGACAGGCUCCCGGGCAAAGGCUGGAGUGGUUGGUUGUCUUCGAAACAGCAUUGAACAAUAACUAUGCGCCAGCGAUUAAGGGUCGCUUUACUGCGUCCAAAGACAUUUCAAACAAUAUCUUCACGUUGGACAUGAAGAGGCUGAAGGUCGAAGACUCCGCCACCUAUUACUGUGCAAGAGGCGCAGCCUGGGUACUUGGCUACUGGGGUCAAGGGACGGUAGUGACUGUGUCUGCAGCGACACCAUCUUCCCCCACACUUUAUGGCCUAGUCUCCUGUCAGCAACACAACACCUACGGUUCUGUCAUCUAUGGUUGUUUGGCGAUGGACUACUCCCCUGAUGUCAUCACAGUGACCUGGAAGAAAGGUGGGAAGCCGAUCAUGACUGGAUUCAAGACUUACCCAUCAGUGAGAAACAAGAAGGGAACAUACACCCUGGGCAGCCAGUUAACCCUCACUGAGUCAGAGGCAAAAUGCGGCCAAAUCAACUGUGAAGUUCGACACAGCGUGAGCGACAAGAGCACUGGAAUACCAUGUUAAACAAAUGCUGUCCAUCCAACUCUUCUCCUAACUGUGAGUUCUAGUGAAGAAAUCACAAGCAGCAAAUUUGCAACCAUCGUCUGUUCAAUCAUUGAUUUCCAUCCAAAGUCAAUCUCCGUGAGUUGGUUGAAGAAUGGGCGGCCCAUGGAUUCUGGCUUCUUCACGUCUCCCGCGUGUGAAGCGAAUGGAAACUUCUCAGCGACCAGUCGGCUGAGAGUCCCUCUUGGUGAAUGGCUCAACAGCGCAGUCUAUACCUGUCAGGUCACUCAUCAAGAGGUCACUCAAAGUCAAAACAUCACCGCACCCCAGGACGUUACCGAGUGCAGUGAUUUUGCAGUUAAAAUACUCCCGCUGCCAACAGACCAGGUCUUACUAGAGGCGACAGUGAUGUUAACUUGUGUUGUAUCCAAUCUUCCUUUCGGAGUCAUCAUCACCUGGGAACAAGAAAAGAAGACUCUGAAAUCAGAGAUUGCUGACCAGCCUGGAGAGCAUCGUGACAGCGUGAUCAGCAAAUUAGACAUUUCUACUCAAGCCUGGCUGAGUGGGGUUAAUUUCUACUGCGUGGUGAACCAUCAGAAUCUACCGACUCCUCUGAGAGACUCCAUCCGCAAGGAGAAAGCGACAAAUCCGCUGGCGCCGUCAGUGUCUGUCCUCCUGCCACCGGCGGAAGAAAUCUCCGAUCAGAGUUUUGUCUCCCUCACCUGUUUAGUGAGACAUUUCUCCCCCCGAGAGAUCUUCAUCAAGUGGACUACCAAAGACACGCUGGUGAAUCCCAGUCACUACAAAAACACCGAAGUGACGACGGAGAGUGACAACACCUCCUUCUUCAUAUACAGCCUGUUAUCCAUUGCAGCGGAGGAGUGGGCCAGCGGUGCUUCUUACUCCUGUGUGGUGGGACAUGAAGCGAUUCCAUUGAAGAUCAUCAACAGAACCGUUGAUAAAUCCAGUGAUUCGAUAGAUCGCACUUGGAUUGAAAACUAUGAGAACGAUUACAGCAACAUCAGGAAAACUGCUUCCACAUUCAUCACCCUGUUCUUCCUGAGUAUUUUCUACAGCGCUGCCGUCACUCUGGUGAAGGUCAAGUGAAUGAAUUUUGGACACCUUAGAUUUUCUUCAUCUGUUUAUAGAGGCCCUUGAAUUCAAAAUCUACAAUCUGUCAUUUUGCUGAUUCCAACAGUGAGGUAAC